rnacentral:rRNA from 1 species
AGCGUACGCUGGCGGCAGGCUUAACACAUGCAAGUCGAGCGGGCAUAGCAAUAUGUCAGCGGCAGACGGGUGAGUAACGCGUGGGAACGUACCUUUUGGUUCGGAACAACUGAGGGAAACUUCAGCUAAUACCGGAUAAGCCCUUACGGGGAAAGAUUUAUCGCCGAAAGAUCGGCCCGCGUCUGAUUAGCUAGUUGGUGAGGUAAUGGCUCACCAAGGCGACGAUCAGUAGCUGGUCUGAGAGGAUGAUCAGCCACAUUGGGACUGAGACACGGCCCAAACUCCUACGGGAGGCAGCAGUGGGGAAUAUUGGACAAUGGGCGCAAGCCUGAUCCAGCCAUGCCGCGUGAGUGAUGAAGGCCCUAGGGUUGUAAAGCUCUUUUGUGCGGGAAGAUAAUGACGGUACCGCAAGAAUAAGCCCCGGCUAACUUCGUG